rnacentral:sRNA from 1 species
ACUUGCUCUGAGCCAGGUGCGGCGAGUCUGCAGGCUGGUCCGGGCUCCUCAGGUCCAGACCCGACCAUUAUCCAGUCGGUUCGUGGAGAGGAGAGGUGCACUUUACAGGUCUCCGAUGAACCAAGAGAACCCUCCACCAUAUCCGGGCCCUGGUCCAACGGCCCCAUACCCACCUUAUCCACCACAACCAAUGGGUCCAGGACCUAUGGGGGGACCCUACCCACCUCCUCAAGGGUACCCCUACCAAGGAUACCCACAGUACGGCUGGCAGGGUGGACCUCAGGAGCCUCCUAAAACCACAGUGUAUGUGGUAGAAGACCAAAGAAGAGAUGAGCUGGGACCAUCCACCUGCCUCACAGCCUGCUGGACUGCUCUCUGUUGCUGCUGUCUCUGGGACAUGCUCACCUGACCAGCCCAGCCCAGCCGUCCUGUCCUGCCAGCUCUGCUGCCACCUCUGACAGUGGAAUGUCUGCAGCAGGACGAUCCCUCUGUGGAGCCCAGGACAUACGGAAUGCUGAGUGGAAACCACACUGAAUGAAUAGCAUUGGGACUUAGAACAGCUACUUGCACAGAACAAG